rnacentral:rRNA from 1 species
GAUGAACGCUAGCUACAGGCUUAACACAUGCAAGUCGAGGGGUAACGGGCAUCAGUGCUUGCACUGUUGUGCUGACGACCGGCGCACGGGUGAGUAACGCGUAUCCAACCUUCCCCCCAGUAGGGCAUAGCCCGGCGAAAGUCGGAUUAAUACCCUAUGUUCUUCGUAGAGGACAUCUGAAAUGAAGCAAAGAUUUAUCGCUAGGGGAUGGGGAUGCGUCUGAUUAGGUUGAUGGCGGGGUAACGGCCCACCAUGCCGACGAUCAGUAGGGGUUCUGAGAGGAAGGUCCCCCACAUUGGUACUGAGACACGGACCAAACUCC